AUGCAAGUGAGCCCUUGUGCCGGGCAGCAGGCCCUGCUCUCCCUCCCGCCUCGCUGUCCCCACCGCACUCUGGCUUCAGACUGGGUGGUGAGAAUUCCAGAGGCUCCGAGCACAGAGGAACAGCUAGACAAAAACCAAAUUAAAAAGGCAGUGGAAGCUCUCUUGGCACAUUGCAAGUCCAGGAAAAACAAUAAUGGAUUCCUUUAGAAUGAGAAUGAAAACUUAUUUUUAAUGGUGAUAUUAUGGAAAAUUCCAAGUAAAGAAUUGAGGAUCAGAUUGCCCUUGCCUCAUGGUAUUCCAUCAGAUUUAGAAGAAAUCUGUUUAUUUACCAAGGAUGAACCCAACAAAACUCCUGAACAGACAGAAUGUUUCUAUAGAAAGCUUUUGAACAAGUAUGGCAUUAAAACCACAUCUCGGAUUAUACCACUCCAAACUUUAAAAAAGGAAUAUAAACCCUAUGAAGCCAAGCUCCGCCUUAUGAGUAGUUUUGACUUUUUCCUUACUGAUGCCAGAAUUUGGAGGCUUUUACCCACACACAUUGGGAGACAUUUCUAUCAAAGAAAGAAAGUUCCAGUAUCUGUGAAUCUUCUAACCAAGAAUUUAUCAACAGAGAUCAAUGAAUCUAUAGGUGGAACAGUCUUAAACAUCUCUAAAAGUGGUUCUUGCAGAAAUGGAAGAAUGUGAAACUCAUGUUUGUGAAAACUGAGAGAUCGGUUGCCCUCUCCAUCUUUUCUUCAUUUGUCACCAGUUGGGAUGAAACUUCCAAACAUUAUCUUCCUAAGAAGAAAAAGGUGACAAAGAAAAGUCCACGAUGAGGACGUCUUGAAAAACAAAAAUGGAAGAAGAAAAACAGAAAGAUACAGCAACAGCCUUCAUCAGUCUUAACAAAAGGUGAUAUAGCACCUAAAAGUGGUGCUCCGGUGAAGAAACCUAGAACCCAGAAGGAAAAGAUCCCAGAACAUGGGAAGAAAAAACGUGGCAGAGUAAAAGCCCAACUUAAAUUGACAAACGACUCUGAAGAUGAAAUUCCACAGCUGGUACCAAUAGGAACAGCUCCAGCUAAAGAAAAUGUAGAGACUCAAAAACAUGCCACAGGAAAGAAGUCUUCAAAAAAGAGUUCUGGUUCCACUACACCUCAUGGAAAGAAAAGAAAGGCCUUGUCAGCUCCAGACACUGUGAAAGCUGCAGAGCCUGAGACCCCAGGUGAAACGCCAGGAAAGGGGCCAAAAAUGAGAGAAGAGGCAGAGAAGGAAAGAAAUCCUUUACUGACAAAAAAGAGACCCAAGACAGACUCCAAAAAAGCCAGAGGCCAAAGUCUUUGCUACUUCUACUAAAUCUGCAAGAAAACCUCCCCACACCCCUAAACAAUUGCCCAAAGUCCCUCAUUCUACCUAA